UACGUAGGGUGCAAGCGUUGUCCGGAAUUAUUGGGCGUAAAGAGCUCGUAGGCGGUCUGUCGCGUCUGCUGUGAAAACCUAGGGCUUAACUCUGGGCGUGCAGUGGGUACGGGCAGACUAGAGUGCGGUAGGGGAGACUGGAAUUCCUGGUGUAGCGGUGAAAUGCGCAGAUAUCAGGAGGAACACCGGUGGCGAAGGCGGGUCUCUGGGCCGUAACUGACGCUGGAGGAGCGAAAGCGUGGGGAGCGAACAGG
rnacentral:rRNA from 1 species